rnacentral:rRNA from 1 species
UCGAGGAUCUUCGGCAAUGGGCGCAAGCCUGACCGAGCGACGCCGCGUGCGCGAUGAAGGCCUUCGGGUUGUAAAGCGCUGUCGAGGGGGAGGAAAGCCGCAAGGCCUGACCGACCCCUGGAGGAAGCACGGGCUAAGUUCGUGCCAGCAGCCGCGGUAAGACGAACCGUGCGAACGUUGUUCGGAUUCACUGGGCUUAAAGGGCGCGUAGGCGGGCCGCACAGUCGGGGGUGAAACCUUCCGGCUCAACCGGGAGCGGGCUCCCGAUACUGGCGGCCUGGAGGGGGGUAGGGGCAUGCGGAACUUCCGGUGGAGCGGUGAAAUGCGUAGAUAUCGGAAGGAACGCCGGUGGCGAAAGCGGCGUGCUGGACCCCGCCUGACGCUGAGGCGCGAAAGCCAGGGGAGCAAACGGGAUUAGAUACCCCCGUAGUCC